CAGCAGCCGCGGUAAUGCGAAGGGGGCUAGCGUUGUUCGGAUUUACUGGGCGUAAAGCGCACGUAGGCGGAUCGAUCAGUCAGGGGUGAAAUCCCAGAGCUCAACUCUGGAACUGCCUUUGAUACUGUCGAUCUGGAGUAUGGAAGAGGUGAGUGGAAUUCCGAGUGUAGAGGUGAAAUUCGUAGAUAUUCGGAGGAACACCAGUGGCGAAGGCGGCUCACUGGUCCAUUACUGACGCUGAGGUGCGAAAGCGUGGGGAGCAAACAGGAUUAGAUACCCGGGUAGUCCCUGUCUCUUAUAA
rnacentral:rRNA from 1 species